AUGUAUGUCCUGGAUGCCCUUUGGACGUCCUAAGGACAUCCUUGUGCUGUCUGGGAUAAUUCAUAAAAGGCACAUAUAUACCUAUGUAAAAUAAAUUGCAGAUUUCAAUCAGAUGAGGCUUCUCUCGACAUUGAAAGAACUUGGACAAUUUCACAUUAGAUAAUAAUGGAUAGAAAUUAACGUGCAAACUCUAAAUUACGCGAAGUGCAUAAUACGUAUUUUCGAAAAAUUAAGAGGAGAACAUAAUUUGAUAAAACAAACUGAAGAUUCAAAUCUCUAGAUUUGAGUUUUUGAAAUCCGAUGGACCGGCACGUUUAUUAGAAAAACACAACACACACAUAAUGGCGCGAAUUAAAAUUGAUACUCGUUAAUUCGCCAUAUUGGAUACAGAAUGCAUUUUAUUUGCGAUAACUCGAAUCGUUUGAUGGACCAAUCAGGACAAAGAAAUCCUUCUAUUUCUUGUAUUCUGAUUGGUCCCUCCUCUAUGUUAAGGUAAUAUUUCGUUUAUCAAACGAGAAGCUUUAUCGGACAUACUGAUUGACAGCUAUACUAAUAGCGUUUUCGAAUGAAGCAGGUUUAAUCGCUCUGAAAGCGAUUAAUGACGUCAUUGCAUCGUCUCUGCCAAUAAAAGACUUAAAUUCAUAGUAAAAUAUAAAUGAUUAAUUGAUCGGAUUUGGAUUAACCCGUUCGUUCGAAAACGCUAUAAGAAACUUUGGGAAUCCUAGAAAUUUUCUAUCCGAUAGCCAAUCAAAACAUCUAAUAACAAACUCGUCGUACGAUGAUAUAAAUGGGUCUGUUCUUUAUAGCUGAACUGGCUGCACUAGUUCAGAGUUUAUCUUUUUCUCUCUCCAUUAGAAGGAGAAAGAUAAGCUCUGAACUAGUGCAGCCAGUUCAGCUAUAAAGAACAGACCUAAUAUCACCUUAAAGCACGGUCUUACAUACAGGUCUUGAAACUGGCCGCAAUUUCAGUAGUGGGGGUAUGGUCGCUUAUUGAGGAAAUAUUUAGUUCCUAACACAGCCACUAUUCGUCGCUGUGAUAACUUUUCCCAGAUAAACGUAACCUACCUGAAAUGUCAAAUUAAAAAAAAAAAAAAAAAGACCUUGGAAACCGAGAGCCGUUGUAAAUACGCGUGUGAUUUUCGUAAAAGAUUAUUUUUGAAAAAUGGCGAGGUGGUGCGCAGUACCGUAUUGUAAAACCGGCAGCAGAACGGAACAAAUAAAGCGGUCUUUAUUUGGCGUACCGAAAGACCCGGUUAUAUGGAAGAAAUGGGAAGAGGCUAUCCCAGGUAUAGUCAAGUUGCGCCAAACGGACGUUAUAUGUGACAAACAGGAAAAAGAUAUUUCCCGUGAGUGGAUUAAGCUUGACACAAAUGAUCAAGUAAUUGCACGGUCAUAUACAAGUAUCCGCAACUUAAAAAGCAAGCCGUGCCCACGAAAUUCGGUGACGUUCCGACAGGAGAUUGUGAGCCGCUGCAUGAAUAUGCGAAGCGAAUAUGCAAUGUCUCUGCCGAAUCCUCUAAUAUGAUGAAACCAUCAAUUCAAAUAAUCAGUACCUUGAUACCGUACAUGUUCCUUUACCAGUUCCAGACAUUGGCACAGAUAUCAGCAUGUCGUUUUCGCCCAUGGAAAUAUCGAGUUGUGAACCUCCGGUAGCAGAUUUGUUGGUUCCUUACCCAAACAGCACAAGGAUGUCCUUAGGACGUCCAAAGGGCAUCCAGGACAUACAUGUAGGAUAUCCUGAGGAUAUCCUAUUUUAAUCCUCGGAUCUCCUCUGGAUGUCCUGAGGAAGAGUAAAUGAUAGCC